rnacentral:rRNA from 1 species
GACGAACGCUGGCGGCGUGCUUAACACAUGCAAGUCGAACGGAAAGGCCCUGCUUUUGUGGGGUGCUCGAGUGGCGAACGGGUGAGUAACACGUGAGUAACCUGCCCUUGACUUUGGGAUAACUUCAGGAAACUGGGGCGAAUACCGGAUAGGAGCUCCUGCUGCAUGGUGGGGGUUGGAAAGUUUCGGCGGUUGGGGAUGGACUCGCGGCUUAUCAGCUUGUUUGCGGGGUAGUGGCCUACCAAGGCUUUGACGGGUAGCCGGCCUGAGAGGGUGACCGGCCACAUUGGGACUGAGAUACGGCACAGACUCCUACGGGAGGCAGCAGUGGGGAAUAUUGCACAAUGGGCGGAAGCAUGAUGCAGCAACGCCGCGUGCGGGAUGACGGCCUUCGGGUUGUAAACCGCUUUCGCCUGUGACGAAGCGUGAGUGACGGUAAUGGGUAAAGAAGCACCGGCUAACUACGUG